UACGGAGGGGGCUAGCGUUGUUCGGAAUUACUGGGCGUAAAGCGCGCGUAGGCGGAUCUGCAAGUCGGGGGUGAAAUCCCGAGGCUCAACCUCGGAACUGCCUUCGAUACUGCGGGUCUCGAGUCCGGGAGAGGUGAGUGGAAUUCCUAGUGUAGAGGUGAAAUUCGUAGAUAUUAGGAAGAACACCAGUGGCGAAGGCGACUCACUGGCCCGGUACUGACGCUGAGGCGCGAAAGCGUGGGGAGCAAACAGG
rnacentral:rRNA from 1 species